AGGACGAACGCUGGCGGCGUGCUUAACACAUGCAAGUCGAACGGAAAGGCCCUGCUUUUGUGGGGUGCUCGAGUGGCGAACGGGUGAGUAACACGUGAGUAACCUGCCCUUGACUUUGGGAUAACUUCAGGAAACUGGGGCUAAUACCGGAUAGGAGCUCCUGCUGCAUGGUGGGGUUGGAAGUUUCGGCGGUUGGGGAUGGACUCGCGGCUUAGUCAGCUUGUUGGUGGGGUAGUGGCUUACCAAGGCUUUGACGGGUAGCGGCCUGAGAGGGUGACCGGCACAUGGACGUGAGACUACGGCCACGACGUCCGUACGGGA
rnacentral:rRNA from 1 species